rnacentral:rRNA from 1 species
GUAGAGAAGAUUGCUUCCUCUUGAGAGCGGCGGACGGGUGAGUAAUGCCUAGGAAUCUGCCUGGUAGUGGGGGAUAACGUUCGGAAACGGACGCUAAUACCGCAUACGUCCUACGGGAGAAAGCAGGGGACCUUCGGGCCUUGCGCUAUCAGAUGAGCCUAGGUCGGAUUAGCUAGUUGGUGAGGUAAUGGCUCACCAAGGCGACGAUCCGUAACUGGUCUGAGAGGAUGAUCAGUCACACUGGAACUGAGACACGGUCCAGACUCCUACGGGAGGCAGCAGUGGGGAAUAUUGGACAAUGGGCGAAAGCCUGAUCCAGCCAUGCCGCGUGUGUGAAGAAGGUCUUCGGAUUGUAAAGCACUUUAAGUUGGGAGGAAGGGCAGUUACCUAAUACGUGAUUGUUUUGACGUUACCGACAGAAUAAGCACCGGCUAACUCUGUGCCAGCAGCCGCGGUAAUACAGAGGGUGCAAGCGUUAAUCGGAAUUACUGGGCGUAAAGCGCGCGUAGGUGGUUAGUUAAGUUGGAUGUGAAAUCCCCGGGCUCAACCUGGGAACUGCAUUCAAAACUGACUGACUAGAGUAUGGUAGAGGGUGGGUGGAAAUUUCCUGUGUAGCGGUGAAAUGCGUAGAUAUAGGAAGGAACACCAGUGGCCGAAGGCGACCACCUGGACUGAUACUGACACUGAGGUGCGAAAGCGUGGGGAGCAAACAGGAUUAGAUACCCUGCUAGUCCACGCCGUAAACCAAGUUCAACUAACCCUUUGGGAAGCCUUGAACUUCUUAAUUGGCCGCACCUAACGCAUUAAGUUGACCGCCCGGGGGAGUACGGCCGCAAGGUUAAGACUCAAAUGAAUUGAC